rnacentral:tRNA from 1 species
CUCAGUGUAGCAUAGUGAUUUGAGUGUUGGACUAUGACUCUGGAGACCAGAGUUCAAAUCCCUUCUUAGACA